UUGAAUUCUGAGCAUGAGUUUCCUUCCUGGGAGUGUUUCUUGAUUUCCUGGAUGGCCCAGGUGGUUGAUGAAUGGAAGUUAACUGGUGUUUGUCCAUCUGCUACAGCCAGAGUGUAAGUGCUUGAAAACAUCUCUUACACAGUUGUUAAUGGAAUUCUGUUGGUGUGACAAAAGGUGACCGGUCAUUUCUAGAUAUAUCUUACAUAGUACAAGUGCCAGUGAUUCCUUUGGAAUUCCUUUCCGGAAUGAUAUUCCAGAAAUACUCAGGACCUGUCUCCCCCUGUAGCCAGCAACUAGAAAUUUUGUAUUGUGAAAAGGGGGAGGAAGGGAGGGUGGGUGAAACUUGCAUACUGUGACAAAACAGUGCCUAGACUUCACACUAGCAAAUUCUGGAUAAUAUGGCAUACAUUUCACAAAUGGCUUUUAAAUUUAAUUACAAAAGGGAGAUUGGGUUUGGGCCUUCCCUUAUGUAGAGGAAGUACCACACUAAAUGUUAAGCAAGAAGGUAUCUCUGAUUCCUUCAUAAAAUAAUCCGAAUUACUUGUGGAAAUACAGGACUGAAGUGCAGUUGGGAAGAAGAAAUUAAGAUGACUGAUUAAACACACUUAGAAUGCAAAAGAUUUGGAGCAUCUAUCAGAAGAGGAGAGUUGUGCCUAAAUAUGGAUCUUCCACUCAUCAGAACCCAAUGACCUUAAUUUCUGGGAUUGAAAAACUGAGGUAUUCAUCACCUUCCUUGCCAAUGCUGUGUGAUACGCUUCCCUUUCUCCCUGAGCUGAACAGAAAACUGAAGCAAAUAAAGCAGCCUGCCCCAUCUUUCCCUCUGGCUAGAGUUCCUCUUCUGGACUUUGGGAUUUAGCAUCCUUUACCAAAUGCAGUGGGUGAUGAAAACUACAUGUUGAAUGAAGGAAACCUCUGCAUUUUUACUUGUUUACAAAACUGUUGCAUCAUGGUUAAGUGAAAACCAUGAGAAGCCUGACUGCCAGAAGUGUGAUGAGCGCCUGGGUGGGAGCUUGGACUGGUUUUGGAAAUCCCCCAGUACCACCAGUAAAUGUGCACUGUAACCAGGUGCCACUGCUGCACAUCACCUUUUCUGUGAAGCAAAUGAGGGGGCACAUCUGCUUUCUCUGUUUAUUGCAUUACACUGAAGCAAACCAGCGUGUGGUUAUUUGCAGUUAUUAGCUGAUUGUUUCACCAAGUCUAAGGAAUACAAAGAAAAGCAAUUACAUAGUCCAGGACCCAGUUAGCGCUGAAGGGAGGCUCAGGCUGUGUGACUGGACAGAGCGAGUCCCAUGCCAGGCUGAGGCCCCUGUGCUGCCCACACAGCAAGGCAGCAGUCUCCAUCAGCCGGCUGCAUUUUGAGUGCACAAGAGCCAGUGAGCUCUACUCUUGCUUCAUGUGGGAACUCAACCCAAGUAAUUUCCUGGGAGUAACACGGUGAAAUCCACACCCUGGAGGUGUUCAUCCCUGCCCAGUGGGGUCCAUUGGUGACCACACUCAGUGUUGUCAUCCCUUGUGUUGAAAGCUGCUCUGAGAAACCAAGGCUGGGUGACUCUCCUGGCUCAUGCAAGAUGGGACUUUCCUCAAGUCUCUCUGAGAUGUUGGUCAUUCCCAUACACCACUUCCCCCUUAAGUUCAAACACAAAACAAUACUCAGGCCUCUUAAAUGAUGAUCUCUACCAAGAUUCUGGAGAUGCUUCAAAAUGGUCUCCUUCCUGUCAUUCAUGAGGAUAGAGAAGUGGUAGGUGAGCCAAAGAGCUGCUGGUGCUGCUGGCAGGGGCAAGUCUUUCUUUUAGGAAUAGAAAGCUUAAAAUCACCAUCUUAAAAUGUAGUCUUCAGGGAUGGUGGCCAGAGGGACCCACCUGAAACACUGGAACUGCAAAGCAUAUCAGGAUUUGUUGGUUGACUUUGGUGUAUCUGCGGGUUUUGUUUAGCUGUAGAAACUCAGUUUGCUAAGGAAAUUAUUGAUAUUCUAUAUUGUAUAAGCCUUUUUUCUUGCUUUUUUUAUUUUUAAAUUUUAAUUUCUCCAGCUGCGGCUGGGGGCC